CUACGAAAGGUGCAAGCGUUGUUCGGAUUUACUGGGCGUAAAGAGAGUGUAGGUUGUUUAUUAAGUCGGAUGUGAUAUCCCGGGGCUCAACCUCGGAACUGCAUUCGAUACUGGUAGACUAGAGUUCGGGAGGGGUAAGCGGAAUUCCGUGUGUAGCAGUGAAAUGCGUAGAUAUACGGAGGAACACCUGAGGCGAAGGCGGCUUACUGGACCGAUACUGACACUGAGACUCGAAAGCGUGGGUAGCAAACAGGAUUAGAAACCCUAGUAGUCC
rnacentral:rRNA from 1 species